rnacentral:tRNA from 1 species
CGAGGUGGCCGAGUGGUUAAGGCGAUGGACUGCUAAUCCAUUGUGCUCAGAUCAUCAAGAAAAACACACUAAUGCCAUUCAACAAGUCCUUUUGCAACGACACGCAGGUGCAUCCUGCUGAUUCGA